UAACAGUAUUUUAAACGACCUAAGACAGUAAGUGGCACAAGCCUUAAUUUCUUACCGAGGAAGUUCCCAAUCGAGGAAGCUAUCUCUAUGUCUAGGUGACAUAGAGAUUUUUAUUUGCAUAA
rfam:Facklamia languida CCTG 37842 genomic scaffold supercont1.1, whole genome shotgun sequence.